GGGCCCGCACAAGCGGUGGAGCAUGUGGUUUAAUUCGAUGAUACGCGAGGAACCUUACCAGGGCUUAAAUGUAAGUUGCAUAGAUCAGAGAUGGUCUUUUCUUCGGACUACUUACAAGGUGCUGCAUGGUUGUCGUCAGCUCGUGCCGUGAGGUGUCAGGUUAAGUCCUAUAACGAGCGCAACCCCUGUCGUUAGUUGCCAGCAAGUAAUGUUGGGCACUCUAGCGAGACUGCCGGUGCAAACCGCGAGGAAGGUGGGGAUGACGUCAAAUCAUCACGGCCCUUACGUCCUGGGCUACACACGUGCUACAAUGGUCGGUACAGAGAGCAGCCACUACGCGAGUAGGAGCGAAUCUAUAAAGCCAAUCUCAGUUCGGAUUGGAGUCUGCAACUCGACUCUAUGAAGCUGGAAUC
rnacentral:rRNA from 1 species